rnacentral:lncRNA from 1 species
UGAAGAUGUUAUUCCUUAAAUAAAGAACUUAAAUGUGCAAAUGGCAAAGAACAAAGAUUCUCAAAUACUCCCAUCUCUCUUAUAUGAAUUAUAGAAGGAACCUUUCUUGGUUGGUUUAGUGCUAGGAUUAGACCAUGUUUCCUCAUAAUGCCUAUCUUAUACAGGAGCAAGAAAAGGGUUGGACUUCACACACACACUCACUUGAAACUUGAUCGUUGGGUUGAAUAAAAAUUACAAGAAAUGCUUGAGUUUGUGAUUAGUGUACAUUUGAGAUUUAAGCCCUUGAGGAGACAUGUGCUUUAAUUGAAUUGUCAUUUGAUAAAACUGUUUGUGCUACUAUGUUUAUGCCUUUUGCUUGAGGACAAGCAAAGAUUCAAGUGUGGGGGAGUUUGAUG